GACGAACGCUGGCGGCGUGCUUAACACAUGCGAGUCGAACGGACAGGCCAUGAUUUUGUGGGGUGCUUGAGUGGCGAACGGGUGAGUAUAACGCGAGUAACAUGCCCUUGACUUUGGGAUAAAUUCAGGAAAAUGGGGCUAAUACCGGAUAGGAGAUCCUGCUGCAUGGGGGGGGAUGGAGAGUUUCGGCGGUUGGGGCUGGACUCGCGGCUUAUCAGCUUGUUGGUGGGGUAGUGGAAUACAAAGGCUUUGAGGGAUAGCCGACCUGAGAGGGUGACCGGGCACAUGAGGACUGCGAGAGGGCGCAGUCGCCUACGGGAGGCAGUGGGGGGGAAUAUGACGCAGCGGGCGCGAGUCUGAGGUAGAGGCGCCGCGUUCGUGAAGACGUCUUACGGGUUGUAAACCUCUUUGGCCUGAGACGAAGCGUGAGUGACGGUAAUGGGUAAAGAAGCACCGGCUAACUACGUG
rnacentral:rRNA from 1 species